AGAUAUAAACUACCCGGCUUCACUUUUUAUAAGCUUAAUAUGUACUAAUAGAAAAUAAAAUCAGCUAAGUUGAUUUUAAGCCUCUGGAUUUUAAUUUGACUUGAUGAAAAGAAAAGCCCGCCAGUUAAAUUAAAACCAAAUAGUUAGCUAGUUCAAAAAGUUCAAAGCAAUUUUUUAACUUAUCCAGUUCAAAAGGUUGAAUCGAACUGUUUUAUAAACUAGACAACGAUCAGAUCGUUUUAUUUAAAAUAUUAUAACAUAUAGUAGCCAAUAAAAAAAAAGACACUAAGAGAAAUUAGUAUCAGGGUUCUAGAGACGAAUAAAACGAAAGAAAUAUUCAUUUUCCAAUUUUUUAAAGUUUUUAAAAAAUUACAUAUGCCAGUAAUCAUCGAUAUCUGCGAAUUACCCAAAAUAUAUAUAAUUUAGCAUAUAUCCUCCUAUUUUAUUCAUAAUCUGUUGGAUAAAAAGAAUUAUUAUUCUUGUCCGUAAUUUUGAGAAUAAUUCGUGAAUCGUGAAUACCUGUAGUACGGAUUGAGAUUGUCGGGUCUAGUCGGAAUCAACAUA
rnacentral:lncRNA from 1 species